rnacentral:rRNA from 1 species
AGUAACGCGUGAGGAACCUGCCUCAAAGAGGGGGACAACAGUUGGAAACGACUGCUAAUACCGCAUAAGCCCACGGCUCGGCAUCGAGCAGAGGGAAAGGGAGCAAUCCGCUUUGAGAUGGCCUCGCGUCCGAUUAGCUAGUUGGUGAGGUAAUGGCCCACCAAGGCGACGAUCGGUAGCCGGACUGAGAGGACGACCAGCCACACUGGGACUGAGACACGGCCCAG